GGGUAAUUUUCCGCAAUGGGCGAAAGCCUGACGGAGCAAGACCGCGUGGGGGAAGAAGGCUCUUGGGUUGUAAACCCCUUUUCUCUGGGAAGAAAGUUGUGAAAGCAGCCUGACGGUACCAGAGGAAUCAGCAUCGGCUAACUCCGUGCCAGCAGCCGCGGUAAGACGGAGGAUGCAAGCGUUAUCCGGAAUGAUUGGGCGUAAAGCGUCCGCAGGUGGCAGUUCAAGUCUGCUGUCAAAGACCGGGGCUCAACCUCGGAAAGGCAGUGGAAACUGAACAGCUAGAGUAUGGUAGGGGCAAAGGGAAUUCCUGGUGUAGCGGUGAAAUGCGUAGAGAUCAGGAAGAACAUCGGUGGCGAAGGCGCUUUGCUGGACCAUAACUGACACUCAGGGACGAAAGCUAGGGGAGCGAAUGGGAUUAGAUACCCCAGUAGUCCUAGCCGUAAACGAUGGAUACUAGGUGUUGUCUGUAUCGACCCGGACAGUGCCGUAGCUAACGC
rnacentral:rRNA from 1 species